CGGGCCUUGAAAAUCCUGGAAAGUCCUUGAAUUGGAAAAAAUCAUUCCAGGACUGGAAAGUCCUUGAAAAUCAGUAGAAGUCCUUGAAAGUCCUGGAAUUAAUUUCCUUAACCUCCAGCUGUGCCAACAUUAGUGAUUUUGAUUAAAAUUACUGAAUAAAGUGAAUUAUUUACGGCAAAUCUGUGCCAUUUUCAAAGAUAUUUCCCAGUUCCAGGUCCUUGAAUUUACUGAAAAAGGGC